rnacentral:lncRNA from 1 species
GAUAAAGAAGAACCAUGCAUUGGGGUUUCUAAGCCUUGACCUUUCAAGACUAGUCUUGCCUAUUUUAUCUUGAUAUAGUUACUACUCCCUAAAAAGAUCAUUUGAUCAUUUUUUCAAUCCUGAGCCCCUUUCCUUAGGGAAAGCUGCUCAGGCAGCCCCAUCCAUGAAUGGUCUUACCUCAUGAGCACCUUAAACCCUCAGAAAGCUCUGGACAAGGGUAAAAAAUUAUAAGAGUAAUAAGACUUUAUCUAUGCAACCACCUAAAGUUAAACUUACAUGGUUUUAAAGGUAUAGGAAAAUGCAUGUCAUGUUUAGUGAGAGGGCUUAUGAGAAUUAAUACAAUAAUUUGAUGGGGGUUGAGAAGAUGCCUGAUGUCAUGAAUCAGCUCUCAUUAGUUCUUAUGUGUCUGUGAGCCCUUCCUAAAUACAAACAUAUUUUGGACAUUCCUUGCUCAUUUACAAAAGUAUAUUGACUUCCUUUUCAUCUGAAGAUGGCAGUCUCAUCCACAUAGAGUUUGCAAAAGUACUUUUACCUACAGGGUUUCAUCUGAUUUUUCCAACAUUGUAUAGAAUGCAGUAUUGGCUAAUGCACUUAUAUCCGUUCAGACUUUGACAGUAGGAGUCUAGAAUUUGAUUCUCUUUUGUGUAGGAAAAGGGCACACUUGCUAAGAUAGACCAAGGUGCAAUAAAAAAAUUGAUUUCUAAAAAAAGUUUAUGAAUGCAAAGAGAAGUUCUGCCUAGUCCUCUGUUGAUCAAUAUCACUUCCAAUUUGGAACAUUACUAUUUAGACCAUCCUGUAAAUCAGGAGAGGCCAUUCCCCUAAGAAAACCUUCCAGAAUUUCUGGUAUCUUUGGUAGGACAAAAAGGAGCUCAAAAUCAAAUUUGACAUGUGUUCUGUACUAAGAUGCUUGUAUAAAGAGCUAUGGUAUAGAGUUGGGGGUUUUCUUUUGUCUGCCUGUCUGUUUGUUCUUGAGCCCAUAUUUUGUAUUCUGCAGUUUUAGUUCACUUAAGACACCUUUGGGAAUCUCUAAACCUUUGCAACGUUUCUAUAAACUUAUCUAUAAAAUAGGGCUAAUAAAAAUAUCAACCUCAUAGGGUUUUAUAAAGAUCAAAUAAUGUGCAUUAAAAC